rnacentral:rRNA from 1 species
UGGGGAAUUUUGGACAAUGGGCGAAAGCCUGAUCCAGCAAUGCCGCGUGUGUGAAGAAGGCCUUCGGGUUGUAAAGCACUUUUGCCCGGAAAGAAAUCCUUGGCUCUAAUACAGUCGGGGGAUGACGGUACCGGAAGAAUAAGCACCGGCUAACUACGUGCCAGCAGCCGCGGUAAUACGUAGGGUGCAAGCGUUAAUCGGAAUUACUGGGCGUAAAGCGUGCGCAGGCGGUUUGCUAAGACCGAUGUGAAAUCCCCGGGCUCAACCUGGGAACUGCAUUGGUGACUGGGCAGGCUAGAGUAUGGCAGAGGGGGGUAGAAUUCCACGUGUAGCAGUGAAAUGCGUAGAGAUGUGGAGGAAUACCGAUGGCGAAGGCAGCCCCUGGGCCAAUACUGACGCUCAUGCACGAAAGCGUGGGGAGCAAAACAGGAUUAGAUACCCUGGUAGUCCACGCCCUAAACGAUGUCAACUAGUUGUUGGGGAUUCAUUCCUUAGUAACGUAGCUAACGCGUGAAGUUGGCCGCCUGGGGAGUACGGUCGCAAGAUUAAAACUCAAAUGAAUUGACGGGGUCAUAGCUGUUUCCU